rnacentral:rRNA from 1 species
UACGUAGGGCGCAAGCGUUGUCCGGAUUUACUGGGUUUAAAGGGUGCGUAGGCGGCUUAAUAAGUCUGUGAUGAAAUGUCAGGGCUCAACCUUGGCGCCGUUACGGAUACUGUUAGGCUUGAGUAUAGAUGAGGCUGUUAGAAUGAGUGGUGUAGCGGUGAAAUGCGUAGAGAUCACUCAGAAUACCGAUUGCGAAGGCAGACAGCCGGGCUAUAACUGACGCUGAGGCACGAAAGCGUGGGGAUCAAACAGG